AACUUUCAACAACGGAUCUCUUGGUUCUGGCAUCGAUGAAGAACGCAGCGAAAUGCGAUAAGUAAUGUGAAUUGCAGAAUUCAGUGAAUCAUCGAAUCUUUGAACGCACAUUGCGCCCAUUAGUAUUCUAGUGGGCAUGCCUGUUCGAGCGUCAUUUCAACCCUCAAAGCAUGGCUUGGUGUUGGGAGCCUACAGUUCUGGUAGCUCCUGAAUUAUAGUGGCGGACCCGCAGUCUGUUCCGAGCGUAGUAGUGCUCUUAACUCGCUAAGGGAUGUCUGUAGAUUCUGGCCAUCAACUCUAUAACUUUUCAAAUGGUUGACCUCGGAUCAGGUAGGAAUACCCGCUGAACUUAAGCAUAUCAAUAAGCGGAGGAAAAGAAACCAACAGGGAUUGCCCUAGUAACGGCGAGUGAAGCGGCAACAGCUCAAAUUUGAAAUCUGGCCUCGGCCCGAGUUGUAAUUUGCAGAGGAUGCUUCUGGCGCGGUGCCUUCCGAGUUCCCUGGAACGGGACGCCACAGAGGGUGAGAGCCCCGUAUGGUCGGACACCAAGCCUGUGUGAAGCUCCUUCGACGAGUCGAGUAGUUUGGGAAUGCUGCUCAAAAUGGGAGGUAAAUUCCUUCUAAAGCUAAAUAUUGGCCAGAGACCGAUAGCGCACAAGUAGAGUGAUCGAAAGAUGAAAAGCACUUUGAAAAGAGGGUUAAACAGCACGUGAAAUUGUUGAAAGGGAA
rnacentral:misc_RNA from 1 species